CCAUUAAUCAAUUCAUUGGAGAAGGCGCUGAGUUCUUGUUUCUGGCGGUCCAAUGAAAAGUUCAGUCUCCACAUCUGAAACUGGGCUACUUUCUUCACAGAGUCUAGUUUCUCCCACCACUUUCAAGCUUUGCCAUGGUUGGACGCCACACUUUUCACACAACCUUGCAUUUUCAGCUGCCAAUAGUUUCUCCUUUUCUUUUAGUCGCUCAAUCUGUUCUUUGAAAACCUGGUUCUUUCUAGCUCUAACGUUGCUAACGCUCCUCUCCAACUGUUGUUCUAUCUGCUGUAGCUCUUCAAUUGUGCAGGAACCCAAGCAUUCUCCCAGUAGUUUCCGUUUUGCAAUUUCAAGGAGCUCUAUAUUCUUCACCAUGUUCGUUGCUUCCGUCUUCAGUUGCUGC
rnacentral:misc_RNA from 1 species